UGGGGAAUAAUGCGCAAUGGGCGAAAGCCUGACGCAGCGACGCCGCGUGAGGGAUGAAGGUUUUCGGAUCGUAAACCUCUGUCAGAAGGGAAGAAACCGCACUGUGCUAAUCAGCAGUGCCUUGACGGUACCUUCAAAGGAAGCACCGGCUAACUCCGUGCCAGCAGCCGCGGUAAUACGGAGGGUGCAAGCGUUAAUCGGAAUUACUGGGCGUAAAGCGCACGUAGGCUGCUUUGUAAGUCAGGGGUGAAAUCCCACGGCUCAACCGUGGAACUGCCUUUGAUACUGCUUAGCUUGAAUCCGGGAGAGGGUGGCGGAAUUCCAGGUGUAGGAGUGAAAUCCGUAGAUAUCUGGAGGAACAUCAGUGGCGAAGGCGGCCACCUGGACCGGUAUUGACGCUGAGGUGCGAAAGCGUGGGGAGCAAACAGG
rnacentral:rRNA from 1 species